rnacentral:rRNA from 1 species
UACGUAGGGUGCAAGCGUUGUCCGGAAUUAUUGGGCGUAAAGAGCUCGUAGGCGGUUUGUCACGUCUGCUGUGAAAACUCGGGGCUUAACUCCGGGCCUGCAGUGGGUACGGGCAGACUAGAGUGCGGUAGGGGAGACUGGAAUUCCUGGUGUAGCGGCGAAAUGCGCAGAUAUCAGGAGGAACACCGGUGGCGAAGGCGGGUCUCUGGGCCGUAACUGACGCUGAGGAGCGAAAGCGUGGGGAGCAAACAGG